rnacentral:rRNA from 1 species
GGCGAACGCUGGCGGCGUGCUUAACACAUGCAAGUCGAACGGAAAGGCCCUGCUUUUGUGGGGUGCUCGAGUGGCGAACGGGUGAGUAACACGUGAGUAACCUGCCCUUGACUUUGGGAUAACUUCAGGAAACUGGGGCUAAAACCGGAUAGGAGCUCCUGCUGCAUGGUGGGGGUUGGAAAGUUUCGGCGGUUGGGGAUGGACUCGCGGCUUAUCAGCUUGUUGGUGGGGUAGUGGCUUACCAAGGCUUUGACGGGUAGCCGGCCUGAGAGGGUGACCGGCCACAUUGGGACUGAGAUACGGCCCAGACUCCUACGGGAGGCAGCAGUGGGGAAUAUUGCACAAUGGGCGGAAGCCUGAUGCAGCAACGCCGCGUGCGGGAUGACGGCCUUCGGGUUGUAAACCGCUUUCGCCUGUGACGAAGCGUGAGUGACGGUAAUGGGUAAAGAAGCACCGGCUAACUACGUG